rnacentral:rRNA from 1 species
GGCCUGGCUGGGCGGUCUUGCCGAAAGGUAAGCACUGCUCUGGUCGGGUCUUUCCUUCUGGGGAACCAGUGUGCUCUUAGUUGAGUGCGCUGGGGAUCCAGGACUUUUACUUUGAAAAAAUUAGAGUGUUUAAAGCAGGCAAUCGCUUGAAUACAUUAGCAUGGAAUAAUAGAAUAGGAC